rnacentral:rRNA from 1 species
UACGUAUGGUGCAAGCGUUAUCCGGAUUUACUGGGUGUAAAGGGAGCGUAGACGGCGAUGCAAGCCAGAUGUGAAAGCCCGGGGCUCAACCCCGGGACUGCAUUUGGAACUGUAUAGCUAGAGUGUCGGAGAGGCAGGCGGAAUUCCUAGUGUAGCGGUGAAAUGCGUAGAUAUUAGGAGGAACACCAGUGGCGAAGGCGGCCUGCUGGACGAUGACUGACGUUGAGGCUCGAAAGCGUGGGGAGCAAACAGG